rnacentral:rRNA from 1 species
UACGUAGGGGGCUAGCGUUGUUCGGAAUUACUGGGCGUAAAGCGCGCGUAGGCGGACCUGCAAGUCGGGGGUGAAAGCCCGAGGCUCAACCUCGGAACUGCCUUCGAUACUGCGGGUCUCGAGUCCGGGAGAGGUGAGUGGAAUUCCUAGUGUAGAGGUGAAAUUCGUAGAUAUUCGCAAGAACACCAGUGGCGAAGGCGGCUUACUGGUCCGGUUCUGACGCUGAGGCGCGAAAGCGUGGGGAGCAAACAGG